GCAUAAUUUGGUUGACAUCAGACAGUCUUCUCCAGUCUAUUCACAAUUCUCUUCUUACUUUCCCUUUUCCCCGACAGACAGCCUUCAAAUCUGUACAGAAUUCUCCUUUCAAUAGCUGCGUACACGACACGUACUCAUCGAUGUUGGGAGUGUAACAGAAUCGGCGUGUAAAAUAUUCGCAAAUUUUCUCAAUUUGGUUGCUCCGAUUUCAAAUAUUUGCGUUGUGAAAUGAAAGGCGCAGAUUUUAAAUGGUAUGACGGGUUCUUCCUGUCAAUGUUAGCAACUAGUAUAAUCAUUGUGGCGAUAAAUUGGAAGCGGUACCAUCUUUGUAUAUACCCCUUGCACAUUUGGAUUGUGGUUGACUAUACAACGGUGUUUCUUUUUCGGUUACUAAUGUUUGUUGACAAUGGACUUGCUGCUGGAAUGGGAUUGGAUUUAGGUUGGCAGCAGAGAUAUACUCGCUUUCGUGGAAGAAUAGUUGUUCUUUCAAUUCUUGCCCUGUUUCUGUAUCCCUUUCUUUGGGCUUGGACGAUUAUUGGGACUUUAUGGUUCACUAGUGCGAGAAACUGUUUGCCAGAAGAAGGUCAAAAGUGGGGUUUCCUUAUUUGGUUGCUCUUCAGCUACUGUGGACUCGUUGGCAUAGCUUGCAUAUCAAUUGGGAAGUGGUUAACUAGAAGACAAGCCCAUUCAUUACGUGCUCAACAGGGAAUUCCUACUUCAGAAUUUGGGGUGUUGGUUGACAUGAUCAGAGUACCAGAUUGGACUUUUGCAGCAGCAGGACAGGAGAUGAGAGCGAUGGGACCUGAUGCUACUUCAUAUCACCCAGGACUUUACUUAACCCAAGCUCAGACAGAAGCAGUGGAAGCUCUCAUUCAGGAACUACCAAAGUUCAGGCUGAAGGCUGUUCCUACUGACUGUAGUGAGUGCCCUAUCUGUUUGGAAGAGUUUCGCAUGGGAAACGAGGUUCGUGGUCUGCCUUGUGCUCACAACUUCCACGUUGAAUGCAUUGAUGAGUGGCUUCGGUUAAAUGUGAAAUGCCCUAGAUGCCGUUCUUCUGUUUUUCCAAAUCUUGAUCUCAGUGCUUUAUCCAAUAUCCGAGCAGAGGGUUCAACAGCCAAUGUCCUGACAGCAGCUCGGUAUGUGAGAUCCCAACCCUCCAGUCAGAGCUACCUGCUGAGAUUGCAAGGUUUGCUCCGCCCAGUGCGCACACAGGAUGCUGGCCUGGGCAGUGAGAUAGAUCUAGCUUCAGGAACAGCUAAUAGCAGCAACCAAGUAUUGGCACCUCAUAGUCAUGGAAAUGUGGAGCCUGUGCAAGUUGUGGUGGAACAGCCCCCAAGGGAGCAAUAACAAUAUAUCGGCCGAGGUUCCUUACCGGUUGAGAUGUCUAACUUGGUGAUUCCUGAGAACUUUCUGGCCAUUGUUGAUUAGUGUUCGUAUAGUGGUUUUUCAUUGCAAUCGAAAUUCAUAGAUUAAAAAGCUAAUAUGCAUCUGAUGGAAGGAAAUGUGGUGUCAAUGAUUUAUCUUCAUGGCCAGCUUGUUCUGGUGUGGGUUAGUUUAACUUUGGCAUUAAUCUUUGGAACUCUCUUAAGAACGCUGUGAAAUGAACCUUCAAAACUGAGUUUCCAUCAGUAAAAAGUAACACAAUCUGCCGUUCAGAAUCCAAUACGUCGAAGUCUGGUUGCUACUUGUUAGUUGUUACUAAGUACUACUUUAUGUGUCAUACGAAAAACAGCUCUCUGCGUGUUGAUAAUCAAGUGUAACAGCUAUGCUAUAAGAAUAUUUGUUGUCUAUUUUUAAAA